UGGGGAAUUUUGGACAAUGGGGGCAACCCUGAUCCAGCCAUGCCGCGUGAGUGAAGAAGGCCUUCGGGUUGUAAAGCUCUUUCGGUGGGAACGAAACGGUUACGACUAAUACUUGUGACUACUGACGGUACCUACAGAAGAAGCACCGGCUAACUACGUG
rnacentral:rRNA from 1 species